rnacentral:rRNA from 1 species
AAGUCGAGGGGCAGCACGGUGUAGCAAUACACUGGUGGCGACCGGCGCACGGGUGCGUAACGCGUAUGCAACCUACCCAUAACAGGGGGAUAACACUGAGAAAUUUGGUCUAAUACCCCAUAAUAUUCCGACAGGCAUCUGUCGGAGUUGAAAGCUUCGGUGGUUGGAGAUGGGCAUGCGUUGUAUUAGCUAGUUGGUAAGGUAACGGCUUACCAAGGCGACGAUACAUAGGGGGACUGAGAGGUUAACCCCCACAUUGGUACUGAGACACGGACCAAACUCC